CUGAAUUACUGUGACCGUACAGGACGACAUACACCGUCAAAUCUCUCUCCCCGGGAAAUCUGAUUCAGGUCCAUUAAACUGUGCGCCUACUUAACAUAAUCCCUGCCUGAAAUGUGCACCGCGGAUGCACCAUGUGUGGUGCUGUCACCCAGCUUUGAGCGAUGCCUAAGAGGUCGAAUGCAGCCCUUCUGGGUACGAAGAGCAAGGCACGGAACUCCAGCUGACCCUCCACUGAGAAAUGCUGCAGACAUGAAUGAAACAGCCUCAUGGCUCAAGGAGGGUCGCUAUUGCUAAUGGUGGAUGAACAUAUGUUCCUUCUGUCAAUCAAGGACUUGCCAUUUGGAAGAGGGCUGGAGUUCUGAAGCUUUCCCCAACCCCCAAAGGCUUCACCAUGCGUCAUUCAACACCUUUAUGUUAAAGGAGGAAUUAGCAGCUAGGAAUUCAGCUUU